GAGACAUAAUUGACAUGGCGGAAUCUCCCAAAGAGCGGUCUAGCAGUGGGCAGACGAACUGGGGAUUGCCAAAAUCUUAACUGGGGGGAAAAGUGGAGAUCUGCCGCUCUUUUGAAGAUAAUUUUAUUGCAGCGAGAAAGGCAGUUCAGGAAAGUUCUCCAUGAAUGUACGUCACAAUGAUGAUGACAGACCAGAUGCCGCUGGACCUUCCUCCGCCCCUACUGAACGGCGAGGUUGCCAUGAUGCCUCACAUGGUUAACGGGGAUGGAUCGCAACAGGUCAUUCUGGUUCAGGUCAACCCAGGAGAAACGUUCACCAUAAGGGCAGAGGAUGGGACCCUCCAGUGCAUCCCAGGUAUGUUGACGCACCAUCUACCCACCU